rnacentral:lncRNA from 1 species
AUAUAUAUAUAUAGUUGAGUUGGAAUGCUAUCGGUAGCAAACGGGCUCCGUUGCCACCCAUUUGUUUUCGAUGAUGGAGCCUUCAAAUCGACGAUCGGCACUGUUGAACAUGAUCUAUAUCACUUGAAGUAUCUAGAAAUUAAAUUUCAAAUCUUUUCGACAUCAUUGACCUAAUGAUCAAAGGGUUUCAAAAUUUGUAAUUUUAAGGGUCGAUAUGAAGCGUUUUCUCGUUUAACGGUGUAAAGCUAUUCAAAUCAAUUGAAUUCUGGUUAGAAAAUUCUUUAAACUAUUUAGAACAAGAUCUAUACUCUUGAUCUUGAUUAUAAAAUUUCUAUCAUCACUUUUUAGAGGAUAUUUAUUUUCAGCCGUUCAUUUUUACGCCCACUUGAUGAACAAGAAAAUAAUAUCGAAAAAAUAUGAAAUUUGAUUUCUAAAUACUUCAAGUGGUAUAGAUCAUUUUCAACGGUACUGAUCAUCGAUUUGGAGGCUCCAUCAUCGAAAACAAAUGGGUGGCAACGGAACCCGUUUGCUACCGAUAUUAUUCCAGCUCAACUCUCUAUCUCUCUCUCUCUCUCUCUCUAUAUAUAUAUAUAUAUGAGUCCGGCUACUAUACUAUCGAUAGUACAAAGCCCUUGGUACUAUUGAGUUUUUUACCGUUAGAUCUACCCUUUGAUCAUUUCCACCCGUUAGAUUAUACUAUUAAACCAACCACCUACUCAACCCUAGGGGACCACUAUCAAUUUCAUCGGAAACCACUAUCAUCUUAACCGCACAUCUUUUCAUCCAAUGGCCGAAAACUCAAUAGUACCAAGAGCUUGGUACUAUUGAUAGUAUAGUAGCAUAAUUAUAUAUAUAUA